rnacentral:lncRNA from 1 species
AAACCUUCUGGAAAAGAUUCGUCAUUCUAGAUAUCAUUCAAUACAUUUGUGAUUUAUGAAAGGAGGUCAAAAUAUCAACAUUAACAGCAGUUUGGAAGAAGCUUUCAACCCUCAUGGAAGACUUUGAGGUACUAAAGGUUUCAGUGGAAGAAGUAACUUCAGAUGUCGAGGAAAUAACAAGACAACUAGAAUUAGAAGUGCAGCCUGAGGAUAUGACUGCAUUGCUGCAAUUUCAUGAUAAAACUUGAAGAGAUGCAGAGUUGCUUCUUACUGAUGGGCAAAGAAACUGAUUUCUUGAGAUGAAAUCUAGUUCUGGUUAAGAUACUGUUAACAUUGUUAAGAUGACAACUAUUACAUAAUUUGAUAAAUCAACAGCAAUAUUUGAGAUCAUUGACUCCAAUUCUGAAAGAAUUUCUAUUGCAUGUAAAAGUUAUCAAAAAACAUCACAUACUGCAGAAAAAUUUUUAUGAAAAGAAAAAAUUUCUCUGUGGCAAACAUUAUUGUUGUUUCAUCUUAAGAACUUUCCACAAGCCCUGCAACCUUUCGCAACCAACAACUUGAUCAGUCAGCAGCCAUCAACAUCAAGGCAACACCCUCCACCAGCAAAGAAUAUGACUUGCUGAAGCCUUGGAUGGUUGUUAGCAUUUUUUAAUCAAUAAAGCAUUUUUAGUUAAGGUGAUCUCUGUACAUGCUGGCUCUCCUUUACCAUCUGCCAUGAGUGGAAGCAGCCUGAGUCCCUCUCCAGAAGCAGAUUCUGGCACCAUGAUUCCUAUACAGCCUAUAGAGCUGUGAGCUAAAUGAACCUGCUUUCUUUGUAAAUUACUCAGCCUCAGGUCUCCCUUUUUAACAAUACAAAAACAGACUAAAACAAAAAGUCAUUGAUAUUAAUGUAUUAACAUAAGCACAUUUCUUAUAUCCUGUGCCUAAUAUAUAAUAUCUGCUCUAAAAAAUAGUUUUCUUUUACUAAUACUAAGAAGAUACUACAUUUAGUAAACAAUGGAGAUCCUGAGGCUAACAUCUGGCUGAGGGUGAUGAAAGAAACCUGCUAUGAUUAUGCCUGGUUCUGUGACAACCAGAGGCUCAGCCUGGGACACUGACUGUUCUCUCUGACCUCACAGAAAAGGCACUGCCGAGCCUGUUUCUCUGCCAUUAAAUUGAUCACAAUGUGUCUGGAGAUGAGCAAGAUGGAACUGAUGAAGCAUCUGGAGUGGAAAAUUCUCACAGUAGGACCUGCUGACUUGAUUCCCUUAUCACCAUGGCAACACGCUUUGAGCACGAACCACCUCCCACUUAAUUGAAAAAUAGAGGCCAUCUGGCGUGCACUCCUACCACUCCACCUACAAACAUCUGUAUCCAUUUACCUCCGUAAGGUUCAUUUCCAUAUGUACCUUUAUCUUUUCUCCUGGGUUUUCAAUCUCCUUUUCUAACAAAGAUGUAUAUACAAGUUUCUCACAUCUUAAAAUGACAAAAAGAAUGUAAUAUAAAAUGUGUCCUUGCCUCUUUUUUUUUUUUUUUUGCCUCUUACCUUCAGAACUAAGCCUUUUAAGAAGAAUCGUUUAUUUUCUACUUCUCUUUUACUCUUCGACACACUGAAAUCUGUCUACUUCCCCCGUCACUACACUAAAAUUGUUUUCAGUGAAAUCAGCAACAGCAUUUAAUGAAUCGUUUGUUAUGCACCAGAUAUUAGACUGUGAUUUGGUGACACAAUAUUGAUUAAGAAAUGUCCUUAUUCUAAAAGCAUUCACAACUCAGAGUUCUGAUAUACCUUUCAACGCUGAACAUAUUCUUCUAAACCUGUGAUAUUUCCAGUUUUGUGUCUCUUCUAACUCUGUGGAUGCUACCUCACAGAAAUGCCUUUGCCAUUCCUCCCUCCACACCAUACUGCCUCUACUGUAUCCUUAGUAAAUCCUUGUUUUUAAUUGCUCCACCUGUCCUCAUGUUCCUCUGAUGCUGUUUUUGGUUUCAUUUGGCCAUUAACCUCUGCUUUUCAGGAUCCUAUUACUUCUUCAGAUCUAGUUCUAAGCAAGUCUUCUGUGAUGCCUUCUCUAAACCUUGUCAAUUAAGUUUCAUUAGAUUCCUCAGUUCAAUAAAGCUUUACCUAUAUGGUUAAUCUUUCACACUACACACUAUCUUCUAAUUUGUUAUGUCUGCAAUCCUCUGCUUAUUUAUUUAAUUAAAUGUUUUAUUUUUAAACAAGUGUAGAUUAUUCUGUUGUAAGGAAUAAUGUACAAAAUUCCAACAUAUACUUUACUUGGUUUUCUUCAAUAGUAAAGUCUUCCAAAACUGUAGUACAGGUUCAGUAUCUCUUAUCCAAAUGCCUGGGACCAGAAGGCUGGGUGUGGUGGCUCAUGCCUGUAAUCCCAGCACUUUGGGAGCCUGAGGUGGGUGAAUCACUUGAGGUCAGGAGUUCGAGACAAGCUUGGCCAACAUGGUAAAACCCCAUCUUUACCAAAAAUACAAAAAUUAGUCACGUGUGGUGGUGCACAUCUGUAGUCCCAUCUACUCGGGAGGCUGAGGCAGGAAAAUCACUUGAACCCGGGAGGCAGAGGUUGCUGUGAGCUGAGAUUGCACCACUGCACUCCAGCCUGGGUGACUCCACCUCAAAAAAAAAAAACAAAAAAGCUUGAGGCCAGAGUGUUUUGGAUUUUAUAAAUUUUUGAUUUGAGAAUAUUUACACCUACAUAAUGAGAUAUCAUGGGGAGGGGACCCAAGUCUAAACACAAAAUUAAUGUUUCAUAUACAUUUUAUACACAUAGUUUUAAGGCAAUUUUAUACAAUAUUUUAAUAAUUGUGUGCUUGAAACAAACUUUAUGUACACUGAAUCAUCAGAAAACAAAAGUGUCACUAUCUCAGCCACCCAUCUUGACAAUCUGUGGUUGUUUGGCAUCACCAUCAUUCCUGACUCUGAAUUUAUAUGCUACCAAUAAACAAUCAUUUCCUUACACUUAUUUACACAUAAAUACUUAGUAGUAAGGUUAAAAAGUGACAUGCCAUUAAUACAAUGAAAAAAUAAUGUGUUCAGAAUAACUAAGCAGCACAGUAGCAUUUCCAGAAUACCUGUAUCUGCUGUUAAACAACAGUAACAACAAACAGUGGCAGGUUUUCAGUAUCCACCUAAAAUGCUGUGUCAUGAUUAAAAGACUGUAAACUGUUCUAUUUUUCUUAGAUAAGAAGCAGUUAAGGGACCAGAAAGUGAGUUCUCUAGGGGUGAUGAGGCGUUCUACUGGAUGGCUUUUUUUUUUUUUGAGAUGGAGUCUCGCUGUUGCCCAGGCUGGAAUGCAGUAGUGUGAUCUCGGCUCACUGCAACCUCUGCCUCCUGGGUUCAAGCAAUUCUCCUACCUCAGCCUCCUGAGUAGCUAGGACUACAGGCAUGUGCCACCAUGCCUGGCUAAUUUAUUUGUAUUUUUAGUAGAGACGGGGUUUCACCAUGUUGGUCAGGCUGGUCUCGAAAUCCUGACCUCAAAUGAUCUGCCCACCUUAGCUUCCCAAAGUGCUAGGAUUACAGGCAUAAGCCACUACGGCUGGCCUACUGGGUGGCUUUUAAAAAUAUUUAGAGUCAUCUGCCUAGUUAACAAUUUUUUUUAAUAUUUGUGACCUGCCCACUUUUUUAAGAAAAAAAAGAUUUUUUUUUGUCUUAAAAGUCUUUCUUUGAUUUUAUAAACCAACAUGAUUUCUUGUUCUGCUCUGAAUGCAUGCUCUUCUAGUCCUUCAGUAAGCCCAUUGUACAUUUCACCAUGUCACCUACAGGCACUUUUUCUGCUGCGUUAAUGUCAUCAUUCUCAUCAUAAGUAUCACGAUGUUCUUGAUUUAGAAUCAUUUUAGCUAUUUCAGCAUUGGUCCAUAAAUGAACCACUAGAGUGUCAUUGUAAAUGUUAAAAACCUCUGAAAUAGCUACUCUUUUCCACUUACUGAAGGACUCUGAACAUGUAUUUUUUACAUAUGUAAGGAGGUCAGGCAUUAUUUUUUCUCAAUUGACAUAUGAAAUUCUUCAAAGUCACCAUCUUGUACAUCAACAUCACUGAUCAUAGUCACAGGCCAGAGGUUAUAGACAAUGUAUGUGUCUCUAGUCACUGUGUUUCAAGCGUUGGCAACAGCAUAUAUGGCAUUCUUCAUGCUAAACUUCUUUUAUAAGUCUUCCACGCCUAGGCCUCUGUUCACUGCUGCUAGCAUGCUGUUCAAGAAAGUGGGUUUUUUAAAUCAUUUACUCUUCAUUGAGCUAAAGAUAGCCUGGUCACAUAGCUAGAUUAAUAAAGCCACAUUUGAGGGAAAGUACAUGGCAUAAACAUUAUUUUUGAUGAGAAUUUUCACUGAAUGAUGAGCAGAACAGUUGUCAAGGAAUAACAAAAUCUUGUACUCAUCAUCUAGUUCAGCUUCUCUGCAAUGAACACAAGUCACUUGGUACAAAAUGUUUGUGAAGCCAAUCAGAAGAGACAUCCUUUGUUAUCCAUGCCUUUUUCUUAGCAUAGUAAUAAACUGAUAAGAAAUGCACUCCUUGAAAACAGUGAGGAUGCACAUUUUUGGCUAACACAGAGAGAUAACACUUGUGACUGCCUGCUGCAUUAGCACAGCCUAGCCGUUAUUCUGUUAUUGGCAUCCUUAAUUCUUGUAGGGACUGCCUCAUCAGCUAGAGACAGUGGCUUUCUGGGGGCAAUAAUACCAAAAGAACACUGUUUCAUCAAUAUUAUAGACUUACUCUUGUGUCACAUUUUCAUCAACAAUGACCUUGGCAAACUCGCCGAUGACCUUGGCAAACUCGCCACUGCUUCGUGAUCAACAAAUAGUUUAUCGCUACAAAUUAAAAAAAGAAUGCUGUGUCUUUUCUUAAAUUUUUGUGAUCAGCAUGCUUAAUGUUCACAGUUCUCUUUAAUUUUCAGUUCAUCAUAAUAGAUCUUCGGGUUUUUGGUCUGUUUGUUUGUUUUGUUUUGUUUUGAGAUACAGUCUCACACUGUCACCCAGGCUGGAGUGUAGUGGCACCAUCUUGGCUUACUGCAACCACCGCCUUCCAUGUUCAAGCGAUUCUCAUGCCUCAGCCUCCCAAGUAGCUGGGAUUGCAGGUGCAGGCCAUCAUGCCUGGCUAAUUUUUGUAUUUUUAGUAGAGACAGGGUUUCACCAUGUUGGCCAGGCUGGUCUCAAACUCCUGACCUCAAGUGAUCUGCCCGCCUUGGCCUCCCAAAGUGCUGGGAUUGCAGGCGUGAGCCACCACCACGCCCAGCCAAUCUUAGUUUAUGUCAUGAUCAACCCACCAUUAAGAGGCAUGUGUUUACUGAAACACUAAUGCAUCCACACUUUCAAUACACAAUCAAAAUCUUCACUUUUAGCUUUGUGCAGUGUCUGCUCGUCAUCACUUUUAGCACAGAAAGUCUAAGUUUAUUCUUCUGUUUCUUCAAGUCAUAUAUGACGAUCAUUCCAACACCAUACUUUUCUGUAAGAUGUUUCACACUUACAUCGCUGCCCAGUUUCUCCAACAGUUUGACUUUCUGUGCUUUAGAUAAACAAAAAUUCUUUCUUUUUCUUCAUUACUGGUAGCUACAGGGGUAUCUAUGAGCCUUUUUGACACUUUCAACAAAAUUUUUACACCACGGAGCAGAGAAUAAGCAACGACACAUGGUGAGUACUAGAUAUAGGUCUUGGCCCCAUGUGGGGCAUUGUGAGGAACAUACCAUUGGUGUGUCUGGCCUACACACAUGUCAUUUCAUUACCCCCCUGGCCCUGCCUGAGGUGGGGAGUCUGGGUAUGUGCAGAAAAUAUAUAUCACAGCUGAGGUGGGGGUGGAAGGGCAUUUUUUCUUGGGGACACUGAAUAAAUGGUAUGUUGUGCACCCGCAUUUUGACUGUGACCUGUCACAUGAAGUCAGGUACAGAAAUUCCUACUUGUGAUAUCUUGUCAGCAAUGAACACGUUUUGAAUAUUUUUGGAGCAUUUGUUGCUCCAAAUUUGUUGGAGCAUUUUGGAUUUCAAAUUUUUAGAUUAGGGAUGUACAAACUGUACAAUAUCAUAAUCAAGAUACUGAAAUAGGUAGUCAAGAUGCAAAAUAUUUCUGUUACUGCAAGGAUACCUUAUGCUUCCCUUGUAUAGCCUCAGCCACUUACUGCUCACCUUUCACUCCUCGUUAACUCUGGCAACAACUCAUCUGUUCUCCAUGACAGUAUAAUAUUGUCAUUUUGAUAAUGCUAUAUAAGUGGACUCAUACUGUAUAUAAUUUUCUUAUUUGUUUUUGUGGUUUUGAUUUUUUUAGCUGAGCAUAAUUCCCUGGAAAUUUAUCCAGUUUACUCAUUCACUCUCUGAAGGAUAUCUGGGUUCUUUCCAUUUGGGGGCUGUUAUGAAUACAAUUGCUAUAAACAUUAACAUACAGUUUUUGCAUAAACAAAGUUUUCAUUUCUCUGGAAUAAAUGUCAAGGAGUGCAAUUGCUGGGUCAUAUGGUAGUUGCAUGUUUAGUUUAAGAGACUGCUGAACUGUUUUUCACAAUGGCUGUACUGUUUUUCAUUCUCACCAGCAAUGUAUGAGUGACCCAAUUUUUCACAUCCUCACCAACAUUUGGUGUUGUUAUUUAUUAUGUUAGCCAUUCUGAUAACUAUUGAGUGAUAACUCAUUGUGGUUUUAAUGAGCAUUUUCUUAAUUGCUAAUAAUGGUGAAUAUUUUUGCAUGUGCUUAUUUGUCAUUUCUGUAUCUUUCAUGGAAUGUCUGUAAUGAAUUUUUUUCCAUUUUCUAACUGGCUUUCUUUUUUUACUAUUUUAAUUUGAGAGUUCUUUACAUGCUCCAGAUAUUUUUUUGUAUACGCUAUUUGAUAACAUUCUCUUUCAGUCUUUAGUUUGUCUUUUUAUCCUCUAAUAUGGAUCUUUUUCAGGUAAACUAUUUCUAAGUUUCUGAGGCCCAAAUUAUCAAUUUUUUUUUUUGUGGGUGACGCUUUCAGUAUCAAAACUGAAUUUUUGCCUCCUCCUAGAUCCCAAGGAUUUUCUCCUAUGCUGUGUUUUUCCUAAAAUGUAGAUAGUUUUACAUUUUCCAUUAAAGUUUGUAAUACAUUUUGAAUUAAUUUGGUGUAAUAUGUAAGAUUUUCUUCAAGAUUGAUUUUUCCCCCUAUGAAUACCAAAUUGGUCAAGCACCAACUUAUUGAAAAGGUUUAUUUCUUCCAUUGAAUUGAUUUAACACCUUUGUUAGAAAACCAGUUGGACAUAUUGAUUUAUUGAAAUGAACUAGUCCCUUGUUUGAUUUUCUCUAGUUUUUCUAUUAUUGAUUUAUGUUAUUUCUAUUUCUAUGUUUACUAUUUUCUUCUUUUUGAUUUGGUUUUAUUCUAUUCUGAUGCUAACUUCUUGACAUGAGAGCUUAGAUUAUUAAUUUGAGACUCUUCCUCUUUUUGAAAGAAUGCAUUUAGUACUCUAAGUUUCCCUCUCAGCACUGUUUUAGCUGUGUCCUACAAUUUUUGAUAUUUUGCAUUUUAAUUGUCAUUAAGUUCUAUGUAUUUUUUUGUUUUCUCUUAAUAUUUCUGCAUUAACCCAUGGAUUAUUAAAAAGUAUGCUGUUUAGUUUCCAAGUGUUUGCACAGUUUUUGUUUGUUGUUGUUGCUGAUUUCUAGUUUGACUCUGUUGUCAUUAGAGAUUAUACUCUGCAUAAUUUCAAUUAUUUUAAAUUUGUUGAAGUUUAUUUUAUGACCUUUAUGAUGUUUUAGGAUGUGGUCUAUCUUAGUACAUGUUAUAUGGGAAAUUGAGAAUAAUGCGUAUCCUGCUAUUGUUGGUGUAGUGAUCUACAAAUGAUAUUUAGAUGGUGGUGGUUGGUGGAAUUGAGCUAUUUUAUAUUGUUAGCAAUUUCCUACUAGUUGUUCUAUUGAUUUUUGAGAAAGGUAAUAAUAGUCUUCAUUUCUAAUUAUAAUUUUUUAAAUUUUUUCUUUUAAUUUUAUCCAUUUUUACUUAUAAAAUUUUCAUUUGUUUCCUCUUUAUAGCUUCUAUUUCUUUGCUGAGACUCUCUCUUUUAAAAUUAUUUCAAUUAUGUAUUUGUAAUUGCUCAUUGAAGCAGUUUUGUAUUAUCUCAGUGUUAGAAUUUACUGAUUGUGUUUUCUUUUAAGUCCAGUUUGAGAGCUUGCUGGUUAUUGGUAUGAUAUGAUGAGUGUUGUUGUUGUUGUUUUUGUUUUUUGAAAUCUGAAAAUUGGGAUCUCAUGUUAGAAGACUCUGGGUUUUAUUUAAACCUGUUUUAGGCAACUACCUGUAAAACUGCUCCAUUGAAAAAUGAAGGGUCGCACCUUAUUACUACCAGGUGGGAAGAGAAGUCUAGGUUCCCCAUUUUCUUCUGUUGCCACUCACAAAGGGGAACCUUAUUGAAGCUGUGUGGGAGUGGGAAUGCCAGAUUCCCUCUAGUUCUCCAUUGAUACAUCCCUGGCUACAGGUGCCUUGCUAAUGGUCCUAUCUUGGCCUCCUUCUGAGAUGAGGUAUGGUGGAGGUGUAACGGAUGGCUUUGUCUUAUAGCGGGAUCAUAGCAAAAGCCCUGGCUCUCCAUUUGGCCUUCUUUAACCCCAUUCCAGAAGUUAAGGGGCACCUCGUGAGUGCUGGGGGUGGUGGUUGAAGUCUAGGUUUCCCAUGUGGUCACCAAUGACAGGUCAGUGGGGACUGGUGGCUCAUUACCACUCAUUAGGCAUGAAAGUACUCUCUCACUAUCUUUGUCUGAUACCACUGUGGUGAGGGAGGAGGGAUAGUGGCCCCUCUUUACAAUUUCCAGAGGGCAGAAGUCUAGGCUCCCAACUUGGACUUUGCUGGUGAAGGUGGAGUGGGGCCACAAUUUUUUCCACAGUAUUUGGUUGGAGUAGAGUGGUUAUUGCCUCAAAGUUUUCUUUCUUGUUACACUGCACUUGCAAGCUGCAGAAGGCAGGCUUUUUCUUUUUUGUUUUCUUUUUCUUUUUUUUUUUUUUCAUUUUCUUUUACUUAUUAGAUUGAACCUGUUGGCAUAUUCUGGUUGCUGGCUUCUUUAGCUCCAAGUCUGGAAUAUGUAAGGCAAGAAGGAAACCUCAGGUCAAGCAUGAUGGCUCACACUUAUAAUCCCAGAACCCUGGUAGGUUGAGACAGAAGGAUUCCUUGAACUCAGGGGUUUGAGACCAGCCUGUGCAACAUAGUGACACCCCGGCACUUCCCCAAAAUAAAAAUAUUAGCCAGGCAUGGUGGCACAUGCCUGUAAUCCUAGCUACUCAGGGAGCUGAGGCAGGACAAUUGCCUGAGCCCAGGAGGUUGAGGCUGCAGUGAACUGUGAUCUUACCACUGUACUCCAGCCUGGGUGACAGAGCCAGACUCUGUCUGUAAAACAACAACAACAACAAAAACAAACAA